rnacentral:rRNA from 1 species
GACGAACGCUGGCGGCGUGCCUAAUACAUGCAAGUCGAACGAACCGCGACUAGGUGCUUGCACUUGGUCAAGGUGAGUGGCGAACGGGUGAGUAACACGUGGGUAACCUACCUCAUAGUGGGGGAUAACAGUCGGAAACGACUGCUAAUACCGCAUAGGACAUGGGAUCACAUGAUUCUGUGAGGAAAGGUGGCGCAAGCUAUCGCUAAGAGAUGGACCCGCGGUGCAUUAGCUAGUUGGUAGGGUAACGGCCUACCCAGGCGAUGAUGCAUAGCCGACCUGAGAGGGUGAUCGGCCACAUUGGGACUGAGACACGGCCCAAACUCCUACGGGAGGCAGCAGUAGGGAAUCUUCCGCAAUGGACGCAAGUCUGACGGAGCAACGCCGCGUGAGUGAAGAAGGUCUUCGGAUCGUAAAGCUCUGUUGUUAGAGAAGAACAGCGCAUAGAGUAACUGUUAUGCGUGUGACGGUAUCUAACCAGAAAGCCACGGCUAACUACGUG